rnacentral:tRNA from 1 species
GGGGGUAGAGCUCGGGGGUAGAGCAUUUGACUGCAGAUCAAGGGGUUCCCGGUUCAAAUCUGGGUGCUUUCU